UACGUAGGGGGCGAGCGUUGUCCGGAGUUACUGGGCGUAAAGGGCACGCAGGCGGGUCUUUAAGUCAGGGGUGAAAUCCUGGAGCUCAACUCCAGAACUGCCUUUGAUACUGAAGAUCUUGAGUCCGGGAGAGGUGAGUGGAACUGCGAGUGUAGAGGUGAAAUUCGUAGAUAUUCGCAAGAACACCAGUGGCGAAGGCGGCUCACUGGCCCGGUACUGACGCUGAGGCACGAAAGCGUGGGGAGCAAACAGG
rnacentral:rRNA from 1 species